GUUUGCUUCAACAGCACAUACGCUCAGAUUAGAACGAUACAGGGAAGAUUAGCAUGAGCCCUGGGCAACGAUGGCUGCAUAAAUAAUUGUAAAUAAUAUGUCAUU